AUACUUACCUGGCAAGGGAGACACCGUGAUCAAGAAGGCGGUUCACCCACUGCCGAGGCUCAGCCAUUGCACUCCGGCUGUGCUGACCCCUGCGAAUUUCCCCAAAUUGUGGAAAUCUCUAUUGCAUAAUUUCUGG
rnacentral:snRNA from 8 species